rnacentral:lncRNA from 1 species
UGAGGCAUGGCCUAUCUCUUCCUUUCUAUCAUAGCCUGAUGUAGUUUUUCAGGUUCCUUUGGGUCCCCUUGGCUGAGAGUGGAGUCCAUUCGGUCAGCUGGGGGAAUUUAGACUUUUACUUUUGGUUUACAGGUGAAUAACAACAUCAAGAAGAAAAUGGAAGCUAUCAGAAAAGCCUCUACCAUCCCCACCACAUCUACCUGUCUACCUGUGUGUGUUCCUAAACUCCAGCUUCUCUCAUGAAAGAACUCUCCAUGCAUCUGGCUUAAGGUCAUCCCAUCCCUGAUCUCCACUUAAGGUUCAUGGCUGGAGGGAGCUUGCCUUGAGACUCAAAUGAGAUUUUGAACUUU